AUAUUAUACAUUUAUAAAAUAAAAUUAAAUAAGAUUUGGGGGAACACACUGAAAUUACAUCAACAGAAACAAGUGGAGAUAACUGUAUAUCAGUUUGAUAUCAUAACCGCAUAGAAGAAAAUGAUAAUAACUACAAACACUUUUUGAACACAUUGAUCUGUUUGUGUAGAAGAAGAACUUAAAGAAAUCCUGAACUUUAUUGAAAAAUUUGCUGUUGGUAGUGGAUUUGGGGCUGCAGUCCCUAAACUAUUUUCUGUUCAUUGUAAGAUUGAGCAAAAAGUAAAUAUAUGGAUGUUAUUGAAAAGCAGGGUUCUUUUGGAGAGAAGGGGGAUUCAAAAAUGAAAUGGGAGGAGGGGAAGAAGUUCAAGAUGUUGGAAUGACAUUAGAAGUACUGGUAUGAAAUAAUUUUUGAACAUUUACUUUUUAUCUGUCUCCGCUAAACUGUCCUAGAAGCUGUUUAAUAGGCCUGGGGCAAGGGAAGUAAAAAAUAUUUGUGCCAGAAAGUAAGGAAGCACUCAAAACUGAUGGAGACAUGUCAAAAGUAAAUCGGAAAUAAAGAGGCAAAAUUAUCCCUGUUCACAGAUGAAUUGUAUGUAGAAAACUCUAAGAUUCAAGAAAA
rnacentral:lncRNA from 1 species